ensembl:misc_RNA Metazoa_SRP Metazoan signal recognition particle RNA
GUCGGACGUAGUGGCGCGCGUCUGUAAUCCUAGCCGUGGGGGAGACUGAGCCCAACGGAUCGCUUGAGCCCGGGGUUCUGGGCUGACGUGUGCUAUGUGGGACCCUGGAGUGGGGCGCCCAACCUUCAACUUAAAACCGGUAUCGAUACGGUGACCGUGGGAAAGGUCGCUUUGACGAGGCACGAGACCCGGUGGAGGUGUCAGAGAUGGAGCAGGGAAGCUCCCGUGGCGGUCAGUGGAUGGACCGCGUCUGUGAAUAGCCACGCCAGACAGACACGGGCAAGAUAGGGAGACGGGGGCUCAC